rnacentral:rRNA from 1 species
AUGAUUGAAUCAAGGGCGUCACAAUUUGCGGAUCUACCGCGCAGCAUAUUAGAUGCUGCAGAAUUUUAUCGAGUCGAAGAAGGGAACUCUACGGAGAAGUUGUUCUGGUCUCAAUACCUUGGACCAAAACUUCUAGUGCCCUUUAGCGACCAGCUGAAUCAACUGGUCGAGUUGCAUAAGGCGGCUGAACCAGCCAUGAAGGACUUAAUAGUCCAGCUAUGGCCUACCGAGCCUAUGCCCAACAGCUACUUCAAACUCGUCAAGCGGCUUGUGAGUGCCUUCCCGCGGCUUGAAGCCAUCAAGCAGUCGGUCUGUAUCGAAGGCCCGUGGAUGGCCUUUGCACGCUCUAAGGUGCACUGGGCAAAGAUGGAUGCCAAGAAGUUGAUGACCGAGGGGCCGCCUGAGGGCAAGGAGCACCGCCGACCCGGGCUGUAUUUUGAUAGUGUCCUGGAGGGAUCCCGCCUUGUGGCGGAACAAUGUGUCAAGGAUAUCAUAUUCCCGUGA